rnacentral:rRNA from 1 species
GGCGGCGUAGCCUAACACAUGCAAGUCGUACGAGAAAGUUGGCUUCGGCCGAUGAGUAAAGUGGCGCACGGGUGAGUAAUGCGUGGAUAAUCUGCCCUUUAGUUGGGAAUAACGUACCGAAAGGUGCGCUAAUACCUGAUAAUACUGCAUAACUACUGUUGUGUAGUCAAAGAAGGCCUCUGUUUACAAGCUUUUGCUGAAGGAUGAGUCCGCGUACCAUUAGCUGGUUGGUGGGGUAAUGGCCUACCAAGGCUACGAUGGUUAGCUGGUCUGAGAGGAUGAUCAGCCACACUGGAACUGAGACACGGUCCAGACUCCUACGGGAGGCAGCAGUGAGGAAUAUUGCGCAAUGGGGGCAACCCUGACGCAGCAACGCCGCGUGAGUGAGGAAGGUUUUCGGACCGUAAAGCUCUGUCGAGCGGGAAGAAAUGUAUCAUGGCUAAUAUCCAUGAUACUUGACGGUACCGCUAAAGGAAGCACCGGCUAACUCCGUG